UUUUAUGAGAGUUUGAUCCUGGCUCAGGACGAACGCUGGCGGCGUGCCUAAUACAUGCAAGUCGAACGCUUCUUUUUCCACCGGAGCUUGCUCCAUCGGAAAAAGAGGAGUGGCGAACGGGUGAGUAACACGUGGGUAACCUGCCCAUCAGAAGGGGAUAACACUUGGAAACAGGUGCUAAUACCGUAUAACAAUCGAAACCGCAUG
rnacentral:rRNA from 1 species